CACAUGUAUGAUUUAUUUUCAUUUCAUAGUAAAAUAUGAUAUAAUGUAUCAAUUUGAUAUUGCAAUUUAUUCUUGAUUAUUUUUUUUUAUAUAUAAAAUUACAUUAAAAUAAUAACAGAUAUUAAAUGAAGUGUACAUUUUUUAACAAUAUAUAAAGAAACAUAAACUCUUCAAAAUCAUUUUGCAUACUGUAGUAAAAUAUUAAAUACAGGUUGCAUGAAUUGCAUAUAUCAAUAUCACGUUUUCAUGUUUGUCGUAUUUCCCUGGUGUUUUUCUUACAAUAUCGUAUCUGUUUUGGCACUCAUAAAACAUAUGAAAUCAUUUGGAAUUAUUUCUAUAGAAGUAUUAUUUAGGAACCAACCUGAUUCUAUUUAAACAAAUUACAACAUAUUGCAAUUUACUGUUUUAAUAUCUAAUGCAUUCUGGGUAUUUCUUAAAAACAUCCUAGACAAUGGAUAUUCAUCAAAUACGCUUUUGUACACACAAAAGAAUUAUCCAAAAAUGCCUAUCAUAAUGGCAGAGAAAAAAAAGAUAAAUAGUAGGUUUCAGAUUAUAUUUUUCAGUAAGUAUAUGGCAAUUAUGUUUUAUGGAUUUAUUUUAGAGAUAAGCAUCUAAUGACAACUCUAGCUGAAAUGCCCUAAUAUUUUCAAAUAAUAUUUAAUAAAAAAGAUCAUUGUAGUUGCUACAAACAAAAGAGGCCAAGUCAUGGACAAUAUGAGCUGAAAACUAGUAGAGGUAAACACAAUGUUAUAUUAUAUUAUAAUUAAAUGAGCAUGAUUUUGCACACAUCAUCAAACAAAAUCAAUCCAGAAAGAAUAUUUGAGCAAUAUUUGUAUAAAUCAGUAUACAAAAAUAUAAUAAAAUAAAAUAAGAACAAAGAAUGUAUAUACUGUAAAUUCAGAAAUUAUUGCGAUGUUUUUAUUAUUGCGACAAAUGCGACAGGGUUAUAAUCGCAAUAAUUUAAUCUCACAUUUUGAAAUUUUUUAUAUGAAUUAAACAGGAUUAUUCUCAAUUUUGCAAAAAUUAAAAUCGCAUUUUAGUCUAAAAUGACAAAAUCGCAAUCAUAAAUGAUCACUCAAUAAUUUCUGAAUUUACAGUACCGGUAUACAUAUCCCUGUCUAAAUACCUGGUUGCUGCAGGUCACACCUGAGAAUUUAAAGUUUAGCCUUCAAAACUUUUACACCAUAUGCAGGUCAUUUGAUAUGCUGGAUUCAUUUAUUAUUUAAGGGUAUCAAUUUUAGCGGAUUGAGGAAAACUUGCAUUAGAUUUUUCGUGGUUUUGGCAAUCUCUGAAUACAUAACCUAGAGAACAUUUAUAAUUUGUUGAACAUUUGAAUUCAUGGUUCACCUGUACCACCAAAACCGAACGAAUAAUUAUGAAUCCGCAAUAAGUUACAUACACUGUGAUUGCAUAAAUCAUUUUUUUUUUUACAUUAAACUUUUGAAAACUUUAUAAAUUCAAGGGCUUAUUAACAGAAAACAGG
rnacentral:lncRNA from 1 species